CCUACGGGCGGCAGCAGUGAGGAAUAUUGGUCAAUGGACGAGAGUCUGAACCAGCCAAGUAGCGUGAAGGAUGACUGCCCUAUGGGUUGUAAACUUCUUUUAUAUGGGAAUAAAAUGUUCCACGUGUGGGCUUUUGUAUGUACCCUAUGAAUAAGGAUUGGCUAACUCCGUGCCAGCAGCCGCGGUAAUACGGAGGAUCCGAGCGUUAUCCGGAUUUAUUGGGUUUAAAGGGAGCGUAGGUGGAUUGUUAAGUCAGUUGUGAAAGUUUGCGGCUCAACCGUAAAAUUGCAGUUGAAACUGGCAGUCUUGAAUACAGUAGAGGUGGGCGGAAUUCGUGGUGUAGCGGUGAAAUGCUUAGAUAUCACGAAGAACUCCGAUUGCGAAGGCAGCUCACUGGACUGCAACUGACACUGAGGCUCGAAAGUGUGGGUAUCAAACAGGAUUAGAUACCCCAGUAGUC
rnacentral:rRNA from 1 species